ACGUUUUACAUAUACCCAAAUAUUAACCGGGAAAAUAACACUUAAUACCGCCUAACUCAAAAUUUCCCAAAAUUUCCUAGCUAAUACCCUCAUAACUCAUUCACAUCGAAGGCAAUUCUUUAGUUUGAGUUCUAGAGUCGCCUUUUCUUUUCUUAACCCUUGUUUGUUUCGCUAGAUAAAGAAUUUCCCACCCAUUUUGCGACAAAAUCUUGCUGCUGAAAACCCAUUUUGCGACAAUCAAUCUUCUUCUCAAUCAAUCUUCUAAUUGCUCUUUUCUUCUCAAUCUUCUUCUCGUUGGAAUUCAUCUAAUUGCUUUGUUCUUCUCAAUCUUCUUCUUGUUGCAAUUAGGGCAAAAGGUUUUAAGGUUUAAUCAAUCUAUCUUCUUCUUCUUGUGAUUAGCAAACGCUGACAUUCCAGCAUCGAUCAACUCUCGGCAAGCUUGGAGCUUCAAGCGCUUGAGGUUUUGGCACUUGAGAGAUAUUAAAACAAGUGCAUCGUCCCCGAUGCCGAUAGAUCUACGGUCACAUUUGAGAUUUGAUUUGGCAUUGAGAGGGAGAUGGUGACGAUUCUGUCCCUUGAUUCUGAGCCAGCGACGACAUUCUAGAGAGCAUCUUUUGCAAUCACCAGAGCUAAGAGACUGGAAAAUGCAAGCCAAGCACUCUUCGGGCAGAUUUGAAAUGAAAUCAGACACUUCGUUGACAUGUUCAUGUGCAGCAGUGUUGUACUUUUUUCUUUCUCAAAAUUUCUUUGAUUUGCAGGUUGUUUUGUCUGGGGUUUUUCAGCUAUCAAACUCAACUUUAACAUGAGAUAUUGAAAUUUCUAUUUUUUUUUUUGUUUUAAAUGUGAUUUUUUGAUAAACGAAUAUUUAGAUGUUGAUAUUUUAAUGAGUGAAUGGAUUUUUAAACAGGAUUUCGAGCCCACGAAAGUUGAGUUGCUGGAAGAUGACGAGAUUUUGUUGUUGGAGUUUUCCGAGAACCUUCCAGUUGGGAUGGGUGUUUUGGCUAUUGGAUUUGAGGGAAUGUUAAGUUAAAAAAUGAAAGGAUUCUAUGGAAGUUUCACAGGUGACUCAAGACAGGUUACAAAGUGAACCUUUGUCACCAAAUCGAGCUAGUUUCAUUUCUGAACAAAACAAGCUUCACACAAAGGACUUGGAAGAUGUCCAAACCAUGGAGGAAACUAGAGAAGGGAGACCAAGCUCUGAACAUAAACUUUAACCACCAGAAGAGUUCAACACUAUAUUACAAAGACUGUUGAACAACCAACUCCCCAGCCAUCCCCGCCUCCUAAAAAGUGAUGUUGGUACUGCCAAUGUUGAUGGCAUUAAGGAUACAAAUGGUACUACACAACUGUGUGACUCUAAAAUAAGUGAAACUGCUCAAGAUGCAGGAUUACAUGACCAAAACUGUUCAACAUCAAAAGAGAUUGCUGGAAAAGGUGGCUCAUUUACUCCUAAUGGUUUCCCUCCUCCAGGAUCUUGUUUAUCCGCUGGACAGGAUAGAGAAAAAAUGACCAGUCGUCUGAUGCGAAACAUAAUCCAAUUGGUUCAGGCCAUGACAAAGUUACUCCUAGUGUUCCCAGGGGAAGACCUGUGCAUUUUUUUAGUGAAGCUUCGGUUGAAGUACCAAUUACAUGUGAAAUCAAUAGCACUAACACUGGCUCUGAAAACAGUUCAAAGCGCAGUGUAGCAGGCAAGACAAGUGAUGCCACGGAGAAGCAACCAGCAAGGAAACUAACCAGAAUUUUCAUGGUGGUUUUUGUUAGAAUUUUUUGAAUGAUUGAGAAGUAUUAACUAUUGUUCGUAGUUAAUUUUUCAAUCAUCUAGGUAUUAGAUUUUAUGUAUGUAAAGGAUGUUGGGUGCCUAUUUAUUAGGCAUAUAUACAGACAGACUUUUUGUAUAUGAAGGUUCACCAUCAAUGAA